CUUACAGCUCACAGUUUGUGUGAGACCUGGCUCCAUCAGGCAGACACCCCCGUGUGGGGUCUGGAGGUGCGGCGGAUGUGAACAAGACCAAGUCCAAGCCCUCGUGGAAUCAACAAAUCAACCAGACCUACCCUAAUACUCCAAGAGAAGAACAAAUAGAACACAUAAACAAAAACAGAAAUGCAAAUGGCAAAUAAAGAUAUAAAUGAA